rnacentral:lncRNA from 1 species
UCUAAAAUUAGACCAAUGUAUCCAAACUUUAAUUGAAAAACAACAACAGCAACAAAAUAAUAGAACAAAAAAUAAACAAAAAUAUAUAAAAAUAUAUAAAAUAAAGAGCGUAUGUUUUUGGAAUUUGUAGAAGUUCAUUUAGCCAUGCUUAGUUCAUGUAUAAGUCACUUCCUCCAUUCAUUUUAGUUUCAAUUUUAAUUUUUUUCUACCUUUUUAAGACACACAAAUUUGCAAGGUCAUUUAAUGGUGUGGGCCUUGGUGCAAGUGACUCCAAGCAAAUGCUUUGGGACAUCGACCCCAUUCCAUUCAUUUAUGCCUAUUUUGGCUGUUCUGGGUCCCAAGCUUGCUCAUCACUCUCUGCUCCCAUCCACCCACACCACAUUUUUCUUUUAUUAUACAACAUUUUACUUGAUGGGCACUCCCUCAAACAACCGCUCUGUCCUCUUAUUAUUAAUGACAAACUUGAUCGGCACUCUCCCACACCGCCAUCGAUUUCCUUUUCAGUAAAUUGUUAAAUGAUAUUUAACUCAAAUAAACAGAAUAAAAUGAUCUGAACAGUGGCUGUUGUAGGUUGUGUUACACUAAUUUAACUUUGUUUGUACACAUUAAUCCCAUACCUCACAAUGAAGUUCAUUACAUUUCCCCUAAAAGUGAGUAUAAUCUUGCAUCAAUCAGAAGUUCCAUAAAUGAUACUCAUACUGUUAUCAACUCACACUGUUAUUAGCUGGGUGUUUUGUGACUGCAAUUGCUGCUUCUGUAAAUUUUGUGGCACGGAAAGAGAUGUUUGUUUUUUCAGACAAUUUACUGUGUUGCUCUUGUUGCAGAUCUCUUGCAGUGGGCUU